AUGAACUGGCUUUUCAAGCCAGAGUCAGCAAUUAAUGAUGGCAUGUCAGAAAUACCAACUUUACCAGAUGGGCAUGGAGUGUGGUGACUUGCACAGACUUGUCACUGAAAACGAGUCCAUCGAUCGUCCUAAACCACUCCUACCACUAUAUUCACACUGCAAGUGGGCAAAAUCAUGCCAAACGUACUUUCCUAGUAUAAGAAGAUACACAUCAUAAUCGAAUCUGGAAAAUGGCUGCUGAAACUUCAUCUCUGGAUGAGGAGCUCUCUUGUUCCAUUUGCUCAGAUUUCUUCAUCGAUCCCGUUGUCCUGAAGUGUGCCCACAGCUUCUGUGGAGCAUGUCUGCGGAGGUUCUGGACACAGAACAGCUCUCGGGAGUGUCCACUGUGCAGGAGGAAAUCCUCCGUGGAAGAUCCCCCUGUGAACAUCGUCUUAAGAAACGUUGUGGAACUUUAUUCAAAGCAAAGGAGUGAAAGAGAGGUAGCAGAGAAGAGGGCAUCUCGAUGCAGUCUCCAUGGAGAGAAAAUUCUGCUCUUCUGUAUAGAAGACCAGGAGCCCGUCUGUGUGGUCUGUCUCACUGCAAAGAAACGGAGAAACCACCAGCUCUGUCCAGUGGAUGAAGCUGUGCAGGAUAAGAAGAAGGAUCUCAGGGCUUCACUGAUUCUAUUAAAGGAAAAGCUGGAGGAGUUUACAAAUGUUAAACAAGAGUUUGAUGAAACAGCCAAACACAUCAAGAGUCAGGCCCAGCAAACUGAGAAGAGGAUAAAGGAGGAAUUUGAUAAACUCCAUCAGUUCCUGGUAGAGGAAGAGGAGGCCAGACUGGCUGUACUGAGAGAGGAAGAGGUACAGAAGAGCCAGAGGAUGAAGGAUGAGAUAGAAAACAUCUCCGAACAGGUCUCCAUCCUGUCGGAGAAGAUCAGAGAUAUUGAGAAGAUCAUGAAAGCUGAGGACAUCUACUUCUUGAAAACCAUCAAGUACAUCAAGGAAAAAACCCAGUGCUCACUGCAGUAUCCAAAGCUACCUUCAGGGGCGCUGAUAGAUGUGGCCAAACACCUCGGUUCUCUGAGGUUCAGAGUCUGGGAGAAGAUGCUGGAGAUUGUGCAGUACACUCCUGUGACUCUAGACCUGAACACUGCACACCCCUGGCUCUCUGUGUCUGAUGAUCUAACCAGUCUGAGAGACACUGGAGUUAAGCAGCAACUUCCUGACAACCCCGAGAGGUUCACUCACUAUGUGAAUGUGUUGGGCUCUGAGGGGUUUAACUCAGGGAAACACAGCUGGGAGGUGAUAGUGGGGGACAAACCUGAGUGGGAUGUAGGAGUGGUAAAAGGAUCUGCACAGAGGAGGGGGAAGUUUACAUGCAGCCCACAGAGUGGAUUCUGGGUAAUAGGUCUGAGGAAUGGUGAUGAGUACAAGGCAUUCACUUCACCAUCAACCCGCCUUAGAGUGAAAUGGAAACCGCGGAGGAUCAGAGUGCAGCUGGACUAUGACAGGGGGGAGGUGUCCUUCUUCAACCCCGCUGACAUGUCACUCAUCUACACCUUUAAAGACAGAUUCACUGGUACACUGUAUCCAGUUUUCUCUCCAUCUGUGAAUAAUAAUGGAAGCAACACUGAAGCACUGAAGAUCUGCCCAUUAAGGCUGUCUGUGACAGUGAAGGUGUCUGAUCCAGUCCUCAUAUACAAGUAAAGGUGCCUUUGACAAUGAUGUUAUUCCAGUAAAUUUGUCUGUAACAAUGUCAUCCCAGUUAAGGUGUCUGACCCAUUUCUCAUGUCCCAGUAAAGAUGCCAUAACCAGUUCUAAUAUCCUAGUAAAUGUGUCUGUGACAGUGAUGUUACUCCAAUAAAGACAUCUUUGACAGUGAUGUCAUCCCCGUAA